UGGGGAAUAUUGGACAAUGGGGGGAACCCUGAUCCAGCAAUGCCGCGUGUGUGAAGAAGGCCUGAGGGUUGUAAAGCACUUUUGUUAGGGAGGAUGGUAGACCAUGUUAAGAGCUAGGUUUGCUGACGUUACCUAAAGAAUAAGCACCGGCUAACUCCGUGCCAGCAGCCGCGGUAAUACGGAGGGUGCAAGCGUUAAUCGGAAUUACUGGGCGUAAAGGGUGCGUAGGCGGUUAUUUAAGUUAUCUGUGAAAUCCCUGGGCUCAACCUAGGUGGGAAAGAUAAUACUGGAUGACUAGAGUGUGGUAGAGGGUAGUGGAAUUUCCGGUGUAGCGGUGAAAUGCGUAGAGAUCGGAAGGAACACCAGUGGCGAAGGCGGCUACCUGGACCAACACUGACGCUGAGGCACGAAAGCGUGGGGAGCAAACAGG
rnacentral:rRNA from 1 species